rnacentral:rRNA from 1 species
AAGAGACAGCAGUAGCCGCGGUAAUACGUAGGUGGCAAGCGUUGUCCGGAAUUAUUGGGCGUAAAGGGCUCGCAGGCGGUUUCUUAAGUCUGAUGUGAAAGCCCCCGGCUCAACCGGGAAGGGUCAUUGGAAACUGGGAAACUUGAGUGCAGAAGAGGAGAGUGGAAUUCCACGUGUAGCGGUGAAAUGCGUAGAGAUGUGGAGGAACACCAGUGGCGAAGGCGACUCUCUGGUCUGUAACUGACGCUGAGGAGCGAAAGCGUGGGGAGCGAACAGGAUUAGAUACCCCUGUAGUCCCUGUCUCUUAUAC